AGCUCCAAUAGCGUAUAUUAAAGUUGUUGCAGUUAAAAAGCUCGUAGUUGGAUUUCGGAGUGGGCCAGUUGGUCCGCCGCAAGGUGUGUUACUGACUGGUUUGCUCUUCUUCGCAAAGACUGCGUGUGCUCUUCAGUGAGUGUGCGUAGGAUUUACGACGUUUACUUUGAAAAAAUUAGAGUGUUCAAAGCAGGCUAUUGCUUGAAUACAUGAGCAUGGAAUAAUGGAAUAGGACUUUGGUCCCAUUUUGUUGGUUUCUAGGGCCGAAGUAAUGAUUAAGAGGGACAAUUAGGGGCAUCCGUAUUUCGUUGUCAGAGGUGAAAUUCUUGAAUUUACGAAAGACGAACAGCUGCGAAAGCACUUGCCAAGAGUGUUUUCA
rnacentral:rRNA from 1 species